rnacentral:RNase_P_RNA from 1 species
CUGGAAGGGCGGAGGGCCGCUCCGGGCUUCGGCCCGGGGAGGAAAGUCCGAACUCCACAGGGCGGGAUGCCGCGUAACUCCGGUCGACAGGCCGGAGAUAGAUGCGGGGGCCCGGGAUAACAGCCGGGCGACGGAAAGUGCCACAGAAAACAGACCGCCGAAGGAGCUGGCAACGGCUCCUCCGGUAAGGGUGAAAAGGCGGGGUAAAAGCCCACCGCUCCAAGCGCAAGCGCGGAGGCACGGAAAACCCCAUCCGGAGCAAGACCAAAUAGGAGACCCCGGGGUGGCCCGCCCCCAGUCCCGUCGAAAGACGGGGCGGGUCUCGGGUAUCGGUCGCUGAGACAAAUGGUCCUCUCCCCGCAGGCUCUCGGGCCGGCGGGCAGACAGAAAUCGGCUUACAGCCCUUCCAGAAUC